AUCCCAGGGCUUCCACUCCUCAUGAGCUUUCCGAGGCUGAUGCGAUCUGGCCGCGCCUUCUCCUCCAGCCCAUCUCCACCCACCCUCUGCCUCUGGUCCUGCUUGCAGUGGUAGGAAGGGCCGGUAAGGGCACAGGGCGGACCCCUGCCUCCCUGCGGGCCUGUGCACACGCGGCCCCAGCUCCUCGGAGUGGCAUGUCCACUUUGUAUCCGCCUGACCCAGUCUGCCACGUCCUUUCCUGCGCAGCCCUCGCACCCUGACCGUGGGCACGGGGCGGUCCUGCUGACGUCUGCCGGGGGCCCAGCACUGCCUGCCACACGGCCUGGGCAAAUUCAGAAUCCAACCUUCUCCAGGAUCUCUGCAGCUUCGUGACCGUGUAGUUCCCUCUUCACAGCUCCCAGAAUCCAGAUGUUCCUAUAGCCAACUUGAAUUCCGGUGAGUUUCUAUGAAAUAUGUGAAGUUCAGUUUGCACAGAAGAUGCCUCUUUUUCCAGCUUGGAAGUUACCCGUGUGUCUCAGGUGGGUCCGUGUCCUAGUUAACAGCAGUACUUGACGCGAGCGUUGAAAGAUUAGAGACCCUGAUCACACUGAAAUAUUUCAUUGUGAAAAAUUUCCAACACAGGCAAGCAGGGGAAUAAAGGGUCCAGUGAUCGCUGGUAGGUCCA
rnacentral:lncRNA from 1 species